GACGAACGCUGGCGGCGUGCUUAACACAUGCAAGUCGAACGGAAAGGCCCUGCUUUUGUGGGGUGCUCGAGUGGCGAACGGGUGAGUAACACGUGAGUAACCUGCCCUUGACUUUGGGAUAACUUCAGGAAACUGGGGCUAAUACCGGAUAGGAGCUCCUGCUGCAUGGUGGGGGUUGGAAAGUUUCGGCGGUUGGGGAUGGACUCGCGGCUUAUCAGCUUGUUGGUGGGGUAGUGGCUUACCAAGGCUUUGACGGGUAGCCGGCCUGAGAGGGUGACCGGCCACAUUGGGACUGAGAUACGGCCCGGACUCCUACGGGAGGCAGCAGUGGGGAAUAUUGCACAAUGGGCGGAAGCCUGAUGCAGCAACGCCGCGUGCGGGAUGACAGCCUUCGGGUUGUAAACCGCUUUCGCCUGUGACGAAGCGUGAGUGACGGUAAUGGGUAAAGAAGCACCGGCUAACUACGUG
rnacentral:rRNA from 1 species